CCUGGUUGAUCCUGCCAGUAGUUAUACGCUUGUCUCAAAGAUUAAGCCAUGCAUGUCUGAGUACAGACCGAUCUAAGGUGAAACCGCGAAUGGCUCAUUAAAUCAGUCAUAAUUCCUUGGAUAGUGAUAAAAUUCCUCGGAUAACUGUGGAAAAUCCAGAGCUAAUACGUGCGACUGAGUUCCGACCUCGGUGUGAACCUUGGGAAGAACGCAUUUAUUAGAUUCAAAACUGACCGGCGUACUCUUCGGGAUGCGUCGACUGUCGAUUGUUUGAUGACUCCGGAUAACUCUGCCGAGCGCUACGGUCUUCGAGCCGGCGCCGUAUCUUUCAAGUGUCUGCCUUAUCAGCUUUCGAUUGUAGUUUAAAUGACUACAAUGGCUGUAACGGGUAACGGGGAAUCAGGGUUCGAUUCCGGAGAGGGAGCCUGAGAAACGGCUACCACAUCUAAGGAAGGCAGCAGGCACGCAAAUUACCCACUCCCAGUGCGGGGAGGUAGUGACGAAAAAUAACGAUGCGAGACUCUUCCGAGGCCUCGCAAUCGGAAUGAGUUCAUUUUAAAACUUUGGACGAGGAUCCAUUGGAGGGCAAGUCUGGUGCCAGCAGCCGCGGUAAUUCCAGCUCCAAUAGCGUAUAUUAAAGUUGCUGCGGUUAAAAAGCUCGUAGUUGGACUUCCUAGAGCCAUUUCGCUGAUGGGUCGCUCGCGAAGCUGUUCGCUUUCGUGCCAGUCACUGUUCGCUUUCUCGGGAACUUCUCUCUGCGUCCCGCUCUCUCCUCAUUCGUGUUGAGAGUAGGCGGUGUCGUGGUUGGAGUGUCUCGUGUUUAGCUUCAGCGGACGACGUUAGCUUUGUCUCCGAGUAUCGCCCGUUAGCGUUUGGUACAAUUAAAAUUCUGUCGGCUCGCUCGGAGUGCUCUUUACCGAGUGUUCCAGGGUGGCCGUCACGUUCACUUUGAAAAAAUUAGAGUGCUUAAAGCGGGCAAUCAAUAGUUGGCUGUUAUGUCUGUGCAUGGAAUGAAGUAACAGGACCUCGUUUCUGCUUGUUUUGUCGGUUUUAAUGAACCGAGGUAAUGAUUAAAAGGGACAGACGGUGGCAUUAGUAUUGCGGCGCUAGAGGUGAAAUUCUUGGACCGCUGCAAGACUAACUACUGCGAAAGCAUUUGCCGAGAAUGUUUUCAUUAAUCAAGAACGAAAGUUAGAGGAUCGAAGGCGAUCAGAUACCGCCCUAGUUCUAACCCUAAACUAUGCUAACUAGCGAUCCGCCGGCGUCAAUCCCACGACCCGGCGGGAAGCCCCAGGGAAACCCAAGUUUAUGAGUUCCGGGGGAAGUAUGGUUGCAAAGCUGAAACUUAAAGGAAUUGACGGAAGGGCACCACCAGGAGUGGAGCCUGCGGCUUAAUUUGACUCAACACGGGAAACCUCACCAGGCCCGGACAUCAUUAGGAUUGACAGGUUGAGAGCUCUUUCUCGAUUUGAUGGGUGGUGGUGCAUGGCCGUUCUUAGUUGGUGGAGUGAUCUGUCUGGUUGAUUCCGAUAACGAACGAGACUCUACCCUACUAACUAGUCGGCGGAUCGUUACCCUGAGAUGGUUAGUUUGUUUCGAAGUUGGUUGUUCUGGAUCGCGUUAGUGACUACCUCGGGGCGAGCGUUCGCGCGUUCGUACUCGAUAGCCACGCGUUUUUUGGUUCACUUUCCGAGAGCUGCUUCUGCUAGGGGCGUCCGUCGCAAUGUAUCUUCUUAGAGGGAUCAGCGGCGUUUAGCCGCACGAGAAAGAGCAAUAACAGGUCUGUGAUGCCCUUAGAUGUUCUGGGCCGCACGCGCGCUACAAUGUAAGGACCAGCGUGCUUUCCCCCUCCGAAAGGAGCGGGUAACCCGUUGAAAGCCCUACUCGAAUGGGAUUGGGGAUUGCAAAUAUUUCCCAUGAACGAGGAAUUCCCAGUAAGCGUGAUUCAUAAAAUUGCGCUGAUUACGUCCCUGCCCUUUGUACACACCGCCCGUCGCUACUACCGAUUGAAUGAUUCAGUGAGGGCAUUGGACUGGCGCCUUCGGUUCUGUCAAAGGAACCAUAGGCUGCCGGAAAGAUGUCCGAACUUGAUCAUUUAGAGGAAGUAAAAGUCGUAACAAGGUUUCCGUAGUGAACCUGCGGAAGGA
rnacentral:rRNA from 1 species